rnacentral:rRNA from 1 species
GUGCCAGCCGCCGCGGUAAGACGAACCGAGCGAACGUUGUUCGGAAUCACUGGGCUUAAAGGGCGCGUAGGCGGGCGGUCAAGUCGAGGGUGAAAGCCCCCAGCUCAACUGGGGAAGUGCCUCCGAUACUGGCCGUCUCGAGGGGGAUAGGGGCGUGCGGAACUUCCGGUGGAGCGGUGAAAUGCGUAGAUAUCGGAAGGAACAUCGGUGGCGAAAGCGGCGCGCUGGAUCCCUUCUGACGCUGAGGCGCGAAAGCCAGGGGAGCGAACGGGAUUAGAAACCCUCGUAGUCC